GCUGGCACAAUGGUUAAGCACUUGGCUGCUAACUAAAAGGUUGGUGGUUCAAAUCCACCAGCG
rnacentral:tRNA from 1 species